UGGGGUAUCGUCAAGCGGCAAGACACUAGAAUUUGACUCUAGCAUUCGCAGGUCCGAAUCCUGCUACCCCAG
rnacentral:tRNA from 1 species